rnacentral:misc_RNA from 1 species
CAGGAGGAUCAUUUAGCAUGGCACUUUGACAAGAGAGGAUCUUAUUCAGUAAAAUCUGGUUAUUAUAUUGCUAGACAGAUCUAUAAUUCAUGCAGGGAUGGGAAUACAGCAAGAUCAGGGCCGUCUUCCUAAUUACGAAAUGAAGUUAUUUAGAAAAACAUGUGGAAGAUUCCUCUUCCCAAUAAACUCUCUAUUUUUCUGUGGUCCAUGCUUCGAGAUAAGCUACGUUCUGGGGAUCUCCUUCGUUCUGGGGAUCUCCUUCACAAAUGCAUUCCCCAAGCUUCACCAGAUUGCUCCUUAUGUGGCCAGAAAGAAACUACAAAGCACAUCUUCUUUGAGUGCCCAAGGGCGGCAGCGUUGUGGUUUAGUUCCUCUUUCAAAGUUUGAUCCACAUUUCUUAAUGGUUCAUCUAUUCUGGAUUGCUGGGAAUCCCUCACACAGCCCUUAUCUGGCCGUGCAUCAGGAAGAGAAUUGGUUCAACUAGCAGUUUAUAUUCUUUGGGGCAUUUGGAAAUGUAGAAAUGCUCAUGUGUUUCAGAGUCUUCAGCCGGAUUAUCAUCUGGUCAUUAAUGGGGCCAUUUCCUUCCAACAGGCCUUUAAUGAAGCCAGACCCCCUCACCAGCAUCCCCUUAAUCCUCUAAGUGCGCAACAGAUUUCUUGGGCACCUCCUCCACCAAAUGUUUUGAAAGCCAAUUUGAUGCAACAGUUGAUUCCAGUCAACAUAAGGGAUCAGUGGCAGUUAUUUUUCGAGAUCAUACAGGUGCUUUAAGGGAUUGGGGUUGCCGUUCAUAUUGCCACGUUUCGAAUCCAUUAGUGUUGGAAAGUCUAGCUUACAGAAAUACAGUUUAGAUGGCGGUGGAAAGAGGCUACAAUCGGUUCAUCUUUGAAGGCAAUUGUCUGAUCUUGAUUUAGGCUAUUCUUUCUAAUCAACCUCCUCUUGAUAUCUCAAAUGUGGUGUUUGAUAUAUCUCAAAUGUGGUGUUUUAUCAGAAGGAACUAUAACAGAGCAGCUCAUUUCAUAGCCCAAAAGGUGUUGCAUGAUACUUCCUUUGCUGUUAAUCUGUUGUAUCAACAGCAGGUUGUAUCAGGCUUACUUCCCAUUGAGCUUUAUUUAUAAAUUUUCUCAUCUUCGG